rnacentral:rRNA from 1 species
CCUACGGUGGGCAGCAGUGGGGAAUAUUGCACAAUGGGGGAAACCCUGAUGCAGCGACGCCGCGUGAGUGAAGAAGUAUUUCGGUAUGUAAAGCUCUAUCAGCAGGGAAGAAAAUGACGGUACCUGACUCAGAAGCCCCGGCUAACUACGUGCCAGCAGCCGCGGUAAUACGUAGGGGGCAAGCGUUAUCCGGAUUUACUGGGUGUAAAGGGAGCGUAGACGGCAGGGCAAGUCUGGAGUGAAAGGCCAGGGCUCAACCCCCGGACUGCUCUGGAAACUGUACGGCGGGAGUGCAGGAGAGGUAAGUGGAAUUCCUAGUGUAGCGGUGAAAUGCGUAGAUAUUAGGAGGAACACCAGUGGCGAAGGCGGCUUACUGGACUGUAACUGACGUUGAGGCUCGAAAGCGUGGGGAGCAAACAGGAUUAGAUACCCCAGUAGUC